GUGCCAGCCGCCGCGGUAAUACGUAGGAUGCUAGCGUUGUCCGGAUUUACUGGGCGUAAAGCGCGCGCAGGCGGCAGAGCAAGUACCGUGUGAAAUCUCCCUGCUCAACGGGGAGGGUGCACUGUAGACUGCUCAGCUAGAGGACGGUAGAGGGGGGUGGAAUUGCUGGUGUAGCGGUGAAAUGCGUAGAGAUCAGCAGGAACACCCGUGGCGAAGGCGGCCCCCUGGGCCGUACCUGACGCUGAGGCGCGAAGGCUAGGGGAGCGAACGGGAUUAGAUACCCCUGUAGUCC
rnacentral:rRNA from 1 species